GGGGCAAGGACACGGCUGCCGAGCGAGGGAAGGGCGAGGGGCGGGAGCCAGCGGCGGUCGCCCCAGGGUAAGCGUGCAUCAUUGCCGGUAUGGGAUUGAGUGAAAUGGCUGAGGAAACCAGCUCUGGGGAGGGAGGCAGGGAAAUCCUCUCUUUACCCAUUCUUCCGACAAACUCAUCACGGCAGGACAGCCUGAAGACUGAAAGUGUAAGAAGAUGUGGAGGGAAACAGAGAAUCUGGCAGGAGCAUCGAACGCACAAGUGCACGAAUUUUGCAUUUUGCUUGGAUUUAAACUCAGAAGUUGUGAGGAAUUUGGGAGUGAGAAGGGAUAUUUCAGAAGGAGAAGAAGAAAAAGAAGUUGUUGUUACAGUCUUGGCAAAAGCUUUUGUUCUAGCUAAUAGAAGAAGUUAGUUUAAAUAAAAAAAAGAAAAAAAAACGUGGA